GGGCCGGUAGCUCAGUGGUAGAGCGUCGCCUUUGCAAGGCGAGGGUCAGGGGUUCGACUCCCCUCCGGUCCACCA
rnacentral:tRNA from 1 species